ensembl:lncRNA
GUUUUAAAGGAAGCAGCCAAGCACAACGAAACUUGAAUCCAAAUCCAAGCUGUGAGUGAAAGUAGCGUUUUUCUCUGCUUUAUUUGUCACACCUGUGCAGAGAGCUUCAUCACAACGGAACUGCCUCAGCUAUUUGGCGAGUGUCUUUACCAGGUGACCCUCAGGAUGAUGGACAGUCUGCGGUCAGAGUUCGGAGCAGGCUGGAACUUUGAGCGAUGCCACGAUGCCGCAUGACGACACCGCAGCCAUCUCCGCUCGCUCCCCGCCGGCGACUCAGAAGGCAGCUUUUCCAUUGCAGCGCGAGGAAAAGGAAAACCGUGGGCCCGUCGCCACAUUGGCCUCAGUUUAACUUAAACAUUGUCUCAACAUCCAUUUCUUUUUACCUGGCUGGAGGACAAACCAUGAGUAGAAAUGUUGCAGCUGACUCUACCCCAAAUGAGGCCAUUCUCAGUGUGGGUCGGCAAGAAAGAACAGGGUUCUUUAAGUCAGAUUUUACGGUGUUUGUGGCCCUUUUUUUUAAUAUCAUAUAUAGUGAAACUAUGGCGACAGGUAGGACAGAGAGAGACACGUCCAGCAACCGUCCUCAGAGGAAAAAAACACACACAGGCAGUUUUAUUAUUUAUGUUGUAAAGAGCUAAUAUGGGAAAUAAAACUUGUUACUUGUAUGAUAAAUAAUUAUCGUCAUAUAGCCUUUGUUGAGCUUGGUUGAAAAGCAAAGAUAAAGAGGUAAACAGCUAGCCGAACAAACCCCCCCAAGAAUAGAGUUUCCCUCAGUCCUGUGUUUAUGCUAAGCUAAGCUACGCUAAGCGUGGUAUCGAUCUUCACCAUCUUUACUUUGAGGUCUGUGAGAAAACAAGUAAGCACAUUUCUCAAUGUAGGGGGCUAUUUCUCCUUAACGCUGAUUUAAGUUGAUUCUUCGCCUCGAACACAGCAGGUGACAAAUGAAUCGCCGGGAGCUUCACUAUCGGCUCUCGAUCGCUUUCGAUUGUUCUGCACGAUCCUACUAAGCAGAUUUUGCUAAGUUAAGCCCGUACGGAGGAGUGAAGGUGUUUCAUUCCAGCGUUUGCUCUGUUUAUUUACAGGAGGGCUGCUGAUGAAAGUGUGGUUGUUUAUUAACAGUUCCAAAUAUAUGGAGACAUUUUGUACGAAUUUCCUUGUGUUAAUAAAUUGCAUCAGAAAUGC